CAUAGCCACGGUAAUACGUAGGGUGCAAGCGUUAAUCGGAAUUACUGGGCGUAAAGCGUGCGCAGGCGGUUCGUUAAGACAGAUGUGAAAUCCCCGGGCUUAACCUGGGAACUGCAUUUGUGACUGGCGGGCUAGAGUAUGGCAGAGGGGGGUAGAAUUCCACGUGUAGCAGUGAAGUGCGUAGAGAUGUGGAGGAAUACCGAUGGCGAAGGCAGCCCCCUGGGCCAAUACUGACGCUCAUGCACGAAAGCGUGGGGAGCAAACAGGAUUAGAUACCCCAGUAGUCCCUGUCUCUUAUACC
rnacentral:rRNA from 1 species